rnacentral:rRNA from 1 species
UACGUAGGGGGCAAGCGUUGUCCGGAAUUAUUGGGCGUAAAGAGCUCGUAGGCGGUUUGUCGCGUCUGCUGUGAAAACCCGAGGCUCAACCUCGGGCCUGCAGUGGGUACGGGCAGACUAGAGUGCGGUAGGGGAGAUUGGAAUUCCUGGUGUAGCGGUGGAAUGCGCAGAUAUCAGGAGGAACACCAAUGGCGAAGGCAGAUCUCUGGGCCGUAACUGACGCUGAGGAGCGAAAGCUGGGGAGCGAACAGG